rnacentral:rRNA from 1 species
CAGUGGGUACGGNCAGACUAGAGUGCAGUAGGGGAGACUGGAAUUCCUGGUGUAGCGGUGGAAUGCGCAGAUNUCAGGAGGAACACCGAUGGCGAAGGCAGGUCUCUGGGCUGUAACUGACGCUGAGAAGCGAAAGCAUGGGGAGCGAACAGGAUUAGAUACCCUGGUAGUCCAUGCCGUAAAUGUUGGGCACUAGGUGUGGGGGNCAUUCCACGUUUUCCGCGCCGUAGCUAACGCAUUAAGUGCCCCGCCUGGGGAGUACGGCCGCAAGGCUAAAACUCAAUGAAAUUGACGGGGGCCCGCACAAGCGGCGGAGCAUGCGGAUUAAUUCGAUGCAACGCGAAGAACCUUACCAAGGCUUGACAUAUACUGGACCGCAUCAGAGAUGGUGUUUCCCUUCGGGGCUGGUAUACAGGUGGUGCAUGGUUGUCGUCAGCUCGUGUCGUGAGAUGUUGGGUUAAGUCCCGCAACGAGCGCAACCCUCGUUCUAUGUUGCCAGCACGUUAUGGUGGGGACUCAUAGGAGACUGCCGGGGUCAACUCGGAGGAAGGUGGGGAUGACGUCAAAUCAUCAUGCCCCUUAUGUCUUGGGCUUCACGCAUGCUACAAUGGCCGGUACAGAGGGUUGCGAUACUGUGAGGUGGAGCUAAUCCCUAAAAGCCGGUCUCAGUUCGGAUUGGGGUCUGCAACUCGACCCCAUGAAGUCAGAGUCGCUAGUAAUCGCAGAUCAGCAACGCUGCGGUGAAUACGUUCCCGGGCCUUGUACACACCGCCCGUCAAGUCACGAAAGUUGGUAACACCCAAAGCCGG